rnacentral:rRNA from 1 species
CCUACGGGAGGCUGCAGUGAGGAAUAUUGGUCAAUGGGCGAGAGCCUGAACCAGCCAAGUCGCGUGAAGGAUGAAGGAUCUAUGGUUUGUAAACUUCUUUUAUAUGGAAAUAAAGUGAGGAACGUGUUCCUUUUUGUAUGUACCAUAUGAAUAAGCAUCGGCUAACUCCAUGCCAGCAGCCGCGGUAAUACGGAGGAUGCGAGCGUUGUCCGGAUUGAUUGGGUUUAAAGGGUACGUAGGUGGUUAAUUAAGUCAGCGGUGAAAGUUUGUGGCUCAACCAUAAAAUUGCCGUUGAAACUGGUUGACUUGAGUAUAUUAGAGGUAGGCAGAAGGCGUGGUGUAGCGGUGAAAUGCAUAGAUAUGACGAAGAACUCCGAUUGCGAAGGCAGCUUACUAAAAUAUAACUGACACUGAAGCGCGAAAGCGUGGGGAUCAAACAGGAUUAGAUACCCGAGUAGUC